CCGAGUUUAGACAGUUUAUUCAGAGGAGAGUAAGCGGGGAAGACGGAGGUUCAGGACAGAGGCUCUCUCCCAGGUUCGAGGUAGGAGGGAAAUCCGGGAGCGGGGAGUGUACAAGCUGAGGGCAACACUGAGAGUUUACUGGCUGGUUGUCUGCUGAUGUCUGCAACAGUUAGACUGGAACAGACAAUAACCACGAAGCAAAACUGAUUCUAAGAUUGGCUGGGGCUGACACAACAUACGCAUAGAGAUUCAACAAUCCGGCGAGGACUGGAUGUCUGAGCCUCCUAUUUAGGCAGUGGCUGAUUGUGGGACACAGAGCCGGUGUGCUGAUUGCAGAUGGUUCUCAGGUGAGUGCAGAGCCCGCAGCAGACACGCCCCCAGCUCCCAGAACAAGCUCACAGCCGGGGCCUCGUGACAGGAUUUCACUUGGAUCUCAAUUACUGUGGGAAACUGGAGAAUGUUUACUGUACAUGAGUCCCUCUUUCAUGUUUCAGAAUAAUUUGUGCAAUAACUUGUCAAAUUAGUAAAGAUGGAAGACAACUUGCAUUGACUGAUCUUCACAGGAAGGACAGAGUUUGGCCUUUUAUUUGUUGGAAAACACUCAUGACAUAAAGAAGGAAUUAUAUACCGGUCUUUUCACCUCAGAGGGAGACUGGUCCAGCUUGAUCUCACUCCAAACUCCUGCAAGCAGAGAAAUUCUGAUCAUUAUCCAUCAAACUUAAGAACGUAUUUUACUUUGUAAUCACAGAAUUGAUUUUCUUACCAUGAAUUGCAACUACAAACAAUAAAC